CGGGGUGGAGUAACGCGUGGGUAACCUGCCUCAUACAGGGGGAUAACAGUUAGAAAUGACUGCUAAUACCGCAUAAGCGCACAGUACCACAUGGUACGGUGUGAAAAACUCCGGUGGUAUGAGAUGGACCCGCGUCUGAUUAGCUAGUUGGUGAGGUAACGGCUCACCAAGGCGACGAUCAGUAGCCGGCCUGAGAGGGUGAUCGGCCACAUUGGGACUGAGACACGGCCCAA
rnacentral:rRNA from 1 species